rnacentral:rRNA from 1 species
GUAGGUGGCAAGCGUUGUCCGGAAUUAUUGGGCGUAAAGCGCGCGCAGGUGGUUCUUUAAGUCUGAUGUGAAAGCCCACGGGCUCAACCGUGGAGGGUCAUUGGAAACUGGAGACCUUGAGUACAGAAGAGGAAAGCGGAAUUCCACGUGUAGCGGUGAAAUGCGUAGAGAUGUGGAGGAACACCAGUGGCGAAGGCGGCUUUCUGGUCUGUAACUGACGCUGAGGCGCGAAAGCGUGGGGAGCAAACAGGAUUAGAUACCCUGGUAGUCCACGCCGUAAACGAUGAGUGCUAAGUGUUAGGGGGUUUCCGCCCCUUAGUGCUGCAGCUAACGCAUUAAGCACUCCGCCUGGGUAGUACGGCCGCAAGGCUA